rnacentral:rRNA from 1 species
UACAGAGGUCUCAAGCGUUGUUCGGAUUCAUUGGGCGUAAGGGGUGUGUAGGUGGCGCCGUAAGUCGGGUGUGAAAUCUCGGAGCUUAACUCCGAAAUUGCACCGGAUACUGCGUUGCUCGAGGACUGUAGAGGAGAUCGGAAUUCACGGUGUAGCAGUGAAAUGCGUAGAUAUCGUAAGGAAGACCAGUGGCGAAGGCGGGUCUCUGGACAGUUCCUGACGCUGAGGCACGAAGGUCAGGGGAGCAAACGGG